rnacentral:lncRNA from 1 species
AUGCUAUUUGGGAUGGAUCAAUUUGUUUCAAUACAUUUUGCAGUCAUGCCAAACAGGGGUAUAGUAAGGAGGGAGAGAAAGCAAACCAGCUUCUGCAACUUUCUACCCUGGAGUGACUUGGACCCUCUGCCUGUCAGCCCAGAAUUUGUUCUAUUGGAAGGAAAAAUCUUGCAAGGAUUACAAAGGCUGCCCUGUGCUUGUACACUGCUAAAUCCCCACAUAUCCCCACAUGCCAUUGGAGCCCGCUGGCUGCCUGAAUCAGCCUCUCCUGUUUGCAUACAGGGGAUGGCUGGUGCAAACAAUUCAAUGGAGCAGCCAGCCUGGCACAGAUUAAUCAGGGUGUCAGUUUAGCUCGGUGCCAGUUGUUAAUCCACUGGGUUUACAUAAAACAUGGAAAAUGGGGCUUUGUUAUUUAAACAGGUCUUUCAAGCUCUGUGGACAGAGCUCUUUUUUUUUUCUCUCCUUAAAAAACAUUUUUUUUUAUUUUAUUUUAAACAUCACAGUACUACUUGUUAGGACCUUAGUAUUAUGAUGUCCCCUUCAGUGCAAGUAAGGGGAUGUGAUUAUGGUAAAUUCAUAUAAAGAUCAAAAUACUCCAUGUUCCAUCACAGUUAUAAAGUAAUCCGAAGAGCGUAACAAGGCUCAUAUAAUUGCAAAAUAACCUCAACUUUUUGUGUGUGUGUUGCCGAUCCUUUUGGCCAUCAGCUGAAAUCUAUGAAGCCUUUUUUCAGAAGAAGGAACAUUUUUAAAUGCAUAAAACAGAAAUAUAUAGGAUUAAAAAGGAAACUAAUUCUACUGAAUGAAAUCUAUCAGAGUACUAAGGAAAAAACAAAAGAAAUAAGUUAUGUCUCCCAGUUUAAGAGCCUGUGGGCUAGUGAAAGAAAUUCAUUGGGAAGUAGUUUGGGGGCUUCUUUCCAUAAGAGGUGUUGUCUUUUCGCCACAUCACAUAUUUUUCUUCUAAGUGAUUUCCCAUGAAAGGAAGACAAUACACCUUGAGUUGGAGCGAGGACUGUAUUGUGCUUUGAAGACAGAAACAAAGGCAGCCAGGGGGCCCCUAAGGAGAGAUGCAGUUUCUGUGGGUGAUAGAAUUAGGAGGAGGUUUGGUGGUUUGAGGGGCCUUUGUGCACUGAUCCCUGAUUCACUUAGGCAGCCGCAAUGCCAUUAAUUCGAAUUUUUAAUCAUUCUGAAAAAAGGGCCUGAGCAAAGAGGGAGAGUGGGGGUAAAAG